GGAGGAUGCAGGCGUUAUCCGGAUUCAUUGGGCUUAAAGGGAGCGCAGACGGUCCCGUAAGCCGGCCGUGAAAUUCCGGGGCCCAACCCCGGCCAGCGGUCGGAACUGCGGGACUUGAGUGCGGCCGAGGCGGGCGGAAUUCGUGGUGUAGCGGUGAAAUGCUUAGAUAUCACGAAGAACCCCGAUUGCGAAGGCAGCCCGCCAGCCCGCUACUGACGUUGAGGCUCGAAGGUGCGGGUAUCGAACAGGAUUAGAUACCCUGGUAGUCCGCACGGUAAACGAUGGACACCCGCCGUGGGCGACAUACGGUCCGCGGCCAAGCGAAAGCGUUAAGUGUCCCGCCUGGGGAGU
rnacentral:rRNA from 1 species